rnacentral:lncRNA from 1 species
UCAGAGCAGAAAAUAAUGAGGCAAUAUACUUCCUUAAACAGAUUCAGUUCAUCAUCGCCGAGGCCUGCGCAGGGGAGGACGGUUGGGGGCACCUUCCAUUGUCGGCGUGGCGGCUCCUUUCUGAGCAGACAGGUUACCCCACCUGAACAUCCUCCUGGGAGGAAGCAGGGCGUGAAUCCGAGGGAAUUAGUGAAGUCAUUCCCUAGCCAUCCUCGAUGGCGGAGCGGUGGUGUGUCUCAGCAAAAAGGUUUGUCAUUGCAGGGGCUGGAGGGCUUAGACCUAGCAGAGGCCCAG